CCCGGACCCCCCUCGGGAUCCGCUUCGCCCACCCCGGCAGGUGACAGACCCUCCCGGACCCCCCUUUGGACCUCUACCCGCCCGCUCCGACAGGUGAGAUACCCCCGGAUCCCCUCUGGUCCUCGCCCCGCCUCCUCCGCCAGGUGCGGAACCCCCGGACCCUCCGUCGGAUCCCGGCCCGUGUCCCCCGGCAGGUGUCUUGUCACAGUAUUGUGAGCAGGUUUCUAAUGCCAACCAGUGGCUUUGCUCGGUAUGUACACACACUGCGACGAGACAUGGACGGCAUCCCAGGACACCAUCCCAAGAAAACCCCAUCCCAACAAACUCCUGUCCCACGCAGCGCUGGAUGGCCAGGCCUGAAGCCAUUUGCACACCUUGCACAGCACUUGUGGAGUUGCACAGCCUUUGCACAGGGUUUGCACAGCCUGCACAUGUUGCUGGCAUGGUUAGCACAGCAUUUGCACACUCAGCGUGCUCACACGGGGCCUUGCACACAUCACCCCCAGCAGUCAGUGACCCCCGGGAGCCUAACCCAGCUGGGGCAGGAGGCAGAGGAAGGGCUAGCAGAGGAAGGCUUCAUCAACUGUUAUUCUUCUGUCAGUCCCUUAUUAAAUCCAGCCUGAUGCUGUUCAGAUACUAAAGGUAAUUUUUAAAAACCAUCUGACAAGACCUCUCAUCCCUGCAUCCUCACUCCCCCCUGGCCAGGGUGCUGAGAGCCCUCCCAGAACCAGGACAUGGCAGCAGGGCUCUGUGCUCAGGGCCUCUCUUCCCAAAGAUGGGAAUGCUGAAAAGCACUGUCCGGUCCUGUCCCACUUAAUCUCACCUCAGAGAGCAGCCCCAGGCUCCAAACUGUGCUCCUGAUGCUCCCACUGCAGCACAUGGCAGCACUCAGUGCUGCCCAAGGAAGGGACCAAAAGGGUCAGCAAAAGUAUGGAAGGAUGAUGGGGUGAGAAGGACUGCCGAAUGGGCAGACAAGUCUAUCCAUAAACCUCCAGGCUUCUUGCAAUGGUUUCUGGAGCAUCCUGCCUGGAACCAUUUCACACAGUCAGUUUUAUGGGAAAAAGUGAAAGGUACAAAAAUGGUGAGUGUGGGCCCCAGUCCCACAACCUUUCAGCCUCAAGCCCCCAAGUCUGUACAUCCUCCUGCAGGUUGGGGUGCAUGCAACUGCCACAUAUGUGGGACCCCAAGCUUCACCAAAUUCCCUGGGACUGUCACUGUCACUGUCACUGCA